GCCGGGUGUGGUGGCUCACGCCUAUAAUCCCAGCAGCUCAGAAGGCUGAGGCAGGAGAAUUGCUCGUUCAAAGGCAGUCUCAGCAACUUAGUGAGGCCCUAAGCAACUCAGCAAGACUCUGUCUCUG
rnacentral:sRNA from 1 species